ACUCCUACGGGAGGCAGCAGUGGGGAAUAUUGCACAAUGGGGGAAACCCUGAUGCAGCAACGCCGCGUGAGUGAUGACGGUCUUCGGAUUGUAAAGCUCUGUCUUCAGGGACGAUAAUGACGGUACCUGAGGAGGAAGCCACGGCUAACUACGUGCCAGCAGCCGCGGUAAUACGUAGGUGGCAAGCGUUGUCCGGAUUUACUGGGCGUAAAGGGAGCGUAGGUGGAUAUUUAAGUGGGAUGUGAAAUACUCGGGCUUAACCUGGGUGCUGCAUUCCAAACUGGAUAUCUAGAGUGCAGGAGAGGAAAGUAGAAUUCCUAGUGUAGCGGUGAAAUGCGUAGAGAUUAGGAAGAAUACCAGUGGCGAAGGCGACUUUCUGGACUGUAACUGACACUGAGGCUCGAAAGCGUGGGGAGCAAACAGGAUUAGAUACCCUGGUAGU
rnacentral:rRNA from 1 species